UCCAUGUUGUUUACUUAUCUGUUUCUCUAUUGUUGAACAAUCAGUAUGCUCCUUAGGUUUUAUUUAUAAUUGACACUAUAUUUGAAUUCUCUCUCCAUUUAUUUUUUUUCCCCUUUUUAAUUAUUGCCUUAGGAUAAAUUCCCAGGAAUAGGAGGAACUGUGCCAAAUAUUAUGAACAUUUAUAGUGCACUUUGUAAAUGUUGCCAAAUUGUUUUCUAAAAGGAAUAUACCAAUUUAUACUUUCAUCAGCAGUAUCUGAACAUAUCCGUCUUCUCCAAAAGUUGACAGCAAUUUUGCUUUAUCAUUUGACCACACACAUGCUUUGGGAUUUUUUUUCCUCACUAUCUGAAAGGGAUAAGUAGAUGAACAUGAAAAGAAUGGGACUUUUAACUUAGUCAGUUUGGAAUGACUGAGGGUUCUUGUUUUCAUUCAAUAGCUGUUGUUACAUCCACUCAAAGAAAUAUUAUGCAGGAAUAAAUAAGGAUAAACACAAAUGCUACAUAGUAACAUGAAAAACACAUUCUGGAAUUCAAUUCAAAGGAAAAGGAAGACUUAAAGGGUUUGGCUUGUCCACUUAUGUUUCCAAACCCACACCAUCUGAGAGACAACUGUGUAUACUCAGUCUCCUUUCAUGCCAAAAACUUUCUUGCAACACAGUCUGUUUCCAAGGGUAAUACAAAUCUAUUUUUCCAAGAACACUGCUUGCUGCCUAACCAUUUCUAGCUACCUACAAAGUUUCAGAAGAGACGGAUCAGCUCUGAGGCCCUGUAACUUCUCUGGACGGGUGUAAUAAGUCACUUGGGAACAUUGCAAAACAUUCUUUCUUAAAGAAUAGGGCAUCUAUCUAAUUCUUUUCCUGGUAGUUAUCUAUCUGGUCCUUUUCUAAUUAAUUGCAAUUAAAUUGUAAAAAAUUUAAGGUCUUUUUAGAACGUUUGACUUAAAUUGCAACAUUAACAAAAAUAUCUGCUCAAUAUUAAACUCUUCUAUAUCCGUUUAUGUAUGGUCAGGCCAUUCAAGACAGCUGUUCUCUUAUUCUCUGUACGCUGCUCAACCAGGCUCUGCUUCUCUCACAUGAAUAUCCAAUCCUCUUAAUCAUGGAACCUAAUUAACUGCCUGUGUGCUUGCCCCUUGCCUCAGCUGCUGGUCUCCCUGGUAACAGCCAACCUGACAUCAAUUCUCCUAUAAAUGGAGGCUUCCUGCCCCCCACCCCCACCCCCAGGUAGCAAAAGUUGCUGGUGUUUCCUGCUCGCUGGCUGCCUCACACAGCACACAGUGGGAUGCUGCUCUGGGACUUCACUUCAGACAAGUAGGAUCUCCUGUCCCUUAAGCCAUUGGUGGUUCUGUCAUAACUACAGACUGUUUCUUCAGUCUUAUAACUGGGCAAGUACAAUAAAGGCAAGAGAACUGGAGUGGGUUGCCAUUUCCUUCUCCAGGGGAUCUUCCCGACCCAGGGAUCGAACCCUGGUCUCCCGCAUUGUAGGCAGACGCUCUAUCGUCUGACCCACCAGGAACCCAGGACAGAGUAGAAUGGUUGACAACCCUCCACCUGAAACAAAACAGCUAAGGGAAAAAAGUUGCCACCAGAGGAAGAACACUUGUCUGCAUCCUUUUCAGUACUCAUGUGGGAUUGCUUUCCAAGUGCAGCCAACAGACAGAAGACUACUAUCAGUUAAACAAAGCACCACCACCACUUCUGGCGUACGGACUACUUACUGUUCAUCUGUGUUUCUAGUUCCUUGUUUUUCUUCUUUGGAGUUUUGUGAGGACUCUCCAGUAGCACUGCCAGGGGCUGAGUCAGGAUCAUUUUUCAGUGUAUUUAUUAUAUCAGUAGAUACAGUAGGAAUGUCUUGUGACUUCAGAGAAGUAUUUUCAGCCUCAUCUUUAGGCAUUUCACUCAGUUCUUCCUUUUCAUCUAUCUCUUCAAGGCUAUAAUCAGAGCUUAUUCCAGCUACAAAGAAAUGAAGAUAUAAUCCUAAAUAUUAAUUUGUCUCAUUUAUCCAAUGCAAUUCUGGCAA